GCUGUAAACCCUAGAAUAUCUUCUCCAUACAUCAAAGCAGAAAUCUAAUACUUGUACUCCUGUUUGUUUGGCUUGCAAGUUUGGCUCUUCUGUUACAUUU